rnacentral:hammerhead_ribozyme from 1 species
UUACUGAUGAAGAGUCCAAAACUAGGACGAAACAGCCGUCCAGUAC